rnacentral:rRNA from 2 species
GAGUUUGAUCCUGGCUCAGGAUGAACGCUAGCUACAGGCUUAACACAUGCAAGUCGAGGGGCAUCAGGAAGAAAGCUUGCUUUCUUUGCUGGCGACCGGCGCACGGGUGAGUAACACGUAUCCAACCUGCCCUUUACUCGGGGAUAGCCUUUCGAAAGAAAGAUUAAUACCCGAUAGCAUAAUGAUUCCGCAUGGUUUCAUUAUUAAAGGAUUCCGGUAAAGGAUGGGGAUGCGUUCCAUUAGGUUGUUGGUGAGGUAACGGCUCACCAAGCCUUCGAUGGAUAGGGGUUCUGAGAGGAAGGUCCCCCACAUUGGAACUGAGACACGGUCCAAACUCCUACGGGAGGCAGCAGUGAGGAAUAUUGGUCAAUGGGCGCUAGCCUGAACCAGCCAAGUAGCGUGAAGGAUGAAGGCUCUAUGGGUCGUAAACUUCUUUUAUAUAAGAAUAAAGUGCAGUAUGUAUACUGUUUUGUAUGUAUUAUAUGAAUAAGGAUCGGCUAACUCCGUGCCAGCAGCCGCGGUAAUACGGAGGAUCCGAGCGUUAUCCGGAUUUAUUGGGUUUAAAGGGAGCGUAGGUGGACUGGUAAGUCAGUUGUGAAAGUUUGCGGCUCAACCGUAAAAUUGCAGUUGAUACUGUCAGUCUUGAGUACAGUAGAGGUGGGCGGAAUUCGUGGUGUAGCGGUGAAAUGCUUAGAUAUCACGAAGAACUCCGAUUGCGAAGGCAGCUCACUGGACUGCAACUGACACUGAUGCUCGAAAGUGUGGGUAUCAAACAGGAUUAGAUACCCUGGUAGUCCACACAGUAAACGAUGAAUACUCGCUGUUUGCGAUAUACAGUAAGCGGCCAAGCGAAAGCAUUAAGUAUUCCACCUGGGGAGUACGCCGGCAACGGUGAAACUCAAAGGAAUUGACGGGGGCCCGCACAAGCGGAGGAACAUGUGGUUUAAUUCGAUGAUACGCGAGGAACCUUACCCGGGCUUAAAUUGCAGUGGAAUGAUGUGGAAACAUGUCAGUGAGCAAUCACCGCUGUGAAGGUGCUGCAUGGUUGUCGUCAGCUCGUGCCGUGAGGUGUCGGCUUAAGUGCCAUAACGAGCGCAACCCUUAUCUUCAGUUACUAACAGGUCAUGCUGAGGACUCUGGAGAGACUGCCGUCGUAAGAUGUGAGGAAGGUGGGGAUGACGUCAAAUCAGCACGGCCCUUACGUCCGGGGCUACACACGUGUUACAAUGGGGGGUACAGAAGGCAGCUAGCGGGUGACCGUAUGCUAAUCCCAAAAUCCUCUCUCAGUUCGGAUCGAAGUCUGCAACCCGACUUCGUGAAGCUGGAUUCGCUAGUAAUCGCGCAUCAGCCACGGCGCGGUGAAUACGUUCCCGGGCCUUGUACACACCGCCCGUCAAGCCAUGGGAGCCGGGGGUACCUGAAGUACGUAACCGCAAGGAUCGUCCUAGGGUAAAACUGGUGACUGGGGCUAAGUCGUAACAAGGUAGCCGUACCGGAAGGUGCGGCUGGAACACC